UACGUAGGGUGCAAGCGUUGUCCGGAAUUAUUGGGCGUAAAGAGCUCGUAGGCGGUUUGUCGCGUCUGCUGUGAAAACUCGGGGCUUAACCCCGGGCCUGCAGUGGGUACGGGCAGACUAGAGUGCGGUAGGGGAGACUGGAAUUCCUGGUGUAGCGGUGGAAUGCGCAGAUAUCAGGAGGAACACCGGUGGCGAAGGCGGUUCUCUGGGCCUUACCUGACGCUGAGGAGCGAAAGCGUGGGGAGCAAACAGG
rnacentral:rRNA from 1 species